ACGCGCACACGCGCUGUUCAGUUGCGGGCUUGCGGCGCGCGAGAAAAGAUCUGCGGCGUCGCCACGUCAUCACUCGCGCUCGCCGUUCGCCGAUCAGGCCCCUUUGGUAGAAAAACCGGAGAACUUUUAAGGGCAUUCACAGUGGGAGGACGUGGCGUUCAGCCUCGCUCCCAGAAAACGAAUAUUCGACGACAUGUCCUCAAUCCGCGCAACAACCUCAGGUCCGCGGAGCCAAUUUGAGCUACGCGUUCCUCGUCAAGUUUGCAGGCGCUAGGACCCACACUCCUGCUCGGUGCUAUCAUGGAGAGGGAGGAGAGAGACCACACUUGACCAUCUAUGCGCUCCACGCCGCCGAGAGGCCGUCGCUGUCGGACCGCCAGGGGAGGAGGGCUGCCGGACGCUCGUCGGGUUGAUGGGGAAGGCGAUGGGGCUGGAGAAGCUCGCCGGCUUCCUCCACCCAACGCUGUCGGAGAGAGGAGGCGCCGGAGAAGGGAGAGGCGAGAGCCACCGACGCGGGGAGAGAACCAGCGCCGUCACGGGGCAGGUCGAUCCGCGCCGCCCGCCGUCCCCCUCUUCCGCACCGACCGCCGAGCUCGCACUCCCUCGCUCCCGCUGCCAGAGGCCGUCGCCGUCGGGCAGCACCGCCGCCCCGUCGCUUGCUGCCGUCGGUGCUCGUGGCGCGCCCCCUGCCCAGCUCCGUCGGCGUUUGUGGCGCCCUGCCGCCUGCCGCCAUCGCCGUCGGGCCGCCCCGCCGCUCGAAGGAGAGGGUGGAUCUGGCCGUCCCAUGGUCAUCGCCGCCCGUCUGCCGCUCCUACACUGCCGACGCCGGCGCCGCUCGGGGGGAGCUCGAAGGAGGCGGAUCUGGCCGCCCUACCGCCGUCGCCGCCCGUCCGCCGCUCCCGCACCGCCGACCUCGCCGCUGCUGCGCUGGCGAGCGCCGGCACCCCGCCGCUGCUCCACCGGAGAUUUCGCUGCUCGGCCCAGCGCCAUCGCCAUCUCCGGCGAUUUCUCUACGUUGGGGAAAGGAAAAGAGGAGGGAGAGGAAAGGAAAGAAAAUGCUAAAGUGAUAAAGUAGGUACUAGUGGGACUCAUUAACUUGCACUGUGGAAUGAGAAGCUUAUGAGGUUUUUUUUUGUCUACGUGGCACACGAGGAACGGAAUAAAAUUAGGAC
rnacentral:lncRNA from 1 species